rnacentral:rRNA from 1 species
GAUGAACGCUAGCGGCAGGCUUAACACAUGCAAGUCGAGGGGCAGCAGGGACUUCGGUCCGCUGGCGACCGGCAAACGGGUGCGGAACACGUACGCAACAUACCUCUAUCUGGGGCAUAGCCUUCUGAAAAGGAGAUUAACACCCCAUAGUAUUUUUCAGUGGCAUCACUGGUUAAUUAAAAAUUCAUUGGAUAGAGAUUGGCGUGCGUCCUAUUAGCUAGUUGGCGGGGUAAAGGCCCACCAAGGCGACGAUAGGUAGCCGAUGUGAGAGCAUGAUCAGCCACACGGGCACUGAGACACGGGCCCGACUCCUACGGGAGGCAGCAGUGAGGAAUAUUGGUCAAUGGACGCAAGUCUGAACCAGCCAUGCCGCGUGAAGGAUGAAGGCGUUCUGCGUUGUAAACUUCUUUUUAUUGGGGAANAAACCUCUUUAUUCUUAGAGAGCCGACGGUACCCAAGGAAUAAG